rnacentral:rRNA from 1 species
GAUGAACGCUGGCGGCGUGCCUAAUACAUGCAAGUCGAGUGAACAGAUGAGGAGCUUGCUCCUCUGACGUUAGCGGCGGACGGGUGAGUAACACGUGGAUAACCUACCUAUAAGACUGGGAUAACUUCGGGAAACCGGAGCUAAUACCGGAUAAUAUAUUGAACCGCAUGGUUCAAUAGUGAAAGACGGUUUUGCUGUCACUUAUAGAUGGAUCCGCGCCGCAUUAGCUAGUUGGUAAGGUAACGGCUUACCAAGGCAACGAUGCGUAGCCGACCUGAGAGGGUGAUCGGCCACACUGGAACUGAGACACGGUCCAGACUCCUACGGGAGGCAGCAGUAGGGAAUCUUCCGCAAUGGGCGAAAGCCCGACGGAGCAACGCCGCGUGAGUGAUGAAGGUCUUCGGAUCGUAAAACUCUGUUAUUGGGGAAGAACAAAUGUGUAAGUAACUAUGCACGUCUUGACGGUACCUAAUCAGAAAGCCACGGCUAACUACGUG